UUUCUGGGGAGGCCUUUGUCAGGGGCAAGGCUGCGCGAGAGCCCCACCAGGGCUCCCUCCCGGCCUGCGGCGUUCCCAGGAAGUACCUGCCUGCCUCACAUCGGCCUCCUUCACAGGCCUGGGUAUGGAAAUGCCUCUCUUCCACCAGCCUCGAGUGGUCAAGCGCAAAGCCAUAGCAGAGAGAGCUGCGGUCCGAAAACUGUCUGUAGGCGCACGAUGCGUCGUGCUGGGAGCCAGGCCUAUCGGCGGGGUCCAGAAGCUGCGGAGAGGCCGUGUCGGUCAAGGGACUUCCGCCCCACUGGCUGUCAUGAUCAGAUUCCGAUCUUUCUGUGUGAAAUCCCGAAUACUGAAACCGAGUAGGGGAGAAAAGUCCAUUUCAAAAAUCAAUCGAUCAGUAAGAGAAAACAAACAAACAAAAAACAGCCUUUAUUUACUCUACAAGCACCCUUAAGGUCUCAUUGUCCUGAGGUCGUCAAAAUAACCGUUGCUUUGGCAUCAUGGCUGUGCACACCUAACUUGGAAUUACUUAAUUCAUUAUGAUGCUUCCAAAGAAAAUCCUUUUGGUUGAUGAAAGCAGGAGAUAAAGAUAAUAAUGGCAACCAUCGACUGAAGUACUAGGCACUGAAUGAAGUGCCUCAUAUGAACUAUCCACUUAGCUCCUGCAGUAAACCCUUAAUGGCGCUAUUAGUAUCCCCAGUUUAGGGAUAGAGAAGCUAACGCUCAGAGAGAGAAAGUGAUUUGCCCAAAGCCACAGUGUUAGCAGGUGACACAACCAAGAUUCAGACCCAGGUUCUUCGUCUACCCUAACAGUAUUGCCAAAGAGAGAUUCCAAAGUUACCGCCUGGCCACUGGGUAAACCUCCGCAGCAGAGAGACCUACUUUAUGUUUCAUUUUCAAGCUCCUAUGGAGCCCAGCAGAGAGAGCUGACAAGGAGGAAUACUGCGAGGGGCUCACAGACUAAGACAAUCU
rnacentral:lncRNA from 10 species